rnacentral:misc_RNA from 1 species
GUGACUGCGGAGGACAUUAUCGUACAAAAUGUGUGAGGCAUGUGACGGCUGUCGCCGACUCNAAAAGUUGUGCACGCCGGAGGGUGUCCUCUCACAUAAUAAUCCAUCUCACCCUUUGUGCAUCACCGCGUGGGCACCCCUUUGGGAUCGGACCGAUCUCGGAAGG